rnacentral:lncRNA from 1 species
CUCACUGUCCAUGCAGAUGGCUCUUCUUUCACCUCCACAAUGUUGCUUGGUUUGGCUGCUGAGGGUGGGACGGUUUCAUUCUGACCAAGCACUAUCACACGACACCAGGGAUGAGCUGAGUCCUCAUACUGAAAUAUCUUCCUGGGUGGAUGCUUGUCAAUUUUUGUGUUGGUAUUUAUUUGGAGACUGCCUGUUUCACUUCCUUCCAUAGUCGUGGUCUGCUGGGGUUUUGCCUGGACGCAAAAAUCAGGUUGCUGAAAACUCAGGUGAACUGAAAGAACUGGAUCCAAGGGACCCUUUGGAAUAAUUCCAUGGACAG